rnacentral:rRNA from 1 species
GGUCUGAGAGGAUGAUCCGCCACACUGGGACUGAGACACGGCCCAGACUCCUACGGGAGGCAACAGUGGGGAAUUUUGGACAAUGGGCGCAAGCCUGAUCCAGCCAUGCCGCGUGUCUGAAGAAGGCCUUCGGGUUGUAAAGGACUUUUGUCCGGGAGCAAAUCCCAGUGGUUAAUACCUACUGGGGCUGAGAGUACCGGAAGAAUAAGCACCGGCUAACUACGUGCCAGCAGCCGCGGUAAUACGUAGGGUGCAAGCGUUAAUCGGAAUUACUGGGCGUAAAGCGUGCGCAGGCGGUUGUGCAAGUCUGAUGUGAAAGCCCCGGGCUUAACCUGGGAACGGCAUUGGAGACUG